rnacentral:lncRNA from 1 species
CAGAACUAUAUUAUUUGGAAGCACAGAUUGGUAAGAGAAAGUCCAAGCAGAGGAGUGUGAAGAGGAAUGGAAAGAAACAAAACUGUUCCAUUAAAAAGGAAAGAGUUGAAAAAUUCACGGUUGUGCAGUAGUGCUGGCAGCAGCUUCGCGGUUCCGUCCUCGGACCCAGCAGCCGCUACUGGUGCUAAGCUGCUAGGAGGCCCCUGUCAGCGAGCUCCUUGGAGCUUGAACCCAUUGUCAUCCAUCUGACUCACCGGCCAAAAAUAAAAUGUUGAAGCAGAUUGCCCAGGAAAGCCCUUAAUUGAUGGGCUUAAUACGGAAACAAAUGAGAAAACUCUUGAAGCAGUAUUUGGCAAAUACGGAUGAAUAGUGGAUGGUCUUUGAUGAAAGACCAUGAAACCAACAAAUCAAGAGGAUUUGCUUUUGUCACCUUUGAAAGCCCAGCAGACACUAAGGAUGCAGCUAGAGACAUGAAUGGAAAGUCAUGAGAUGGAAAAGCCAUCAAGGUAGAACAAGCCACCAAACCAUCAUUUGCAAGUGGUAGACGUGGGCUGUCUCCACCUCCAAGAAGUAGAGGCCCUCCAAGAGGUCUUAGAGGUGGAAGAGGAGGAAGUCGAGGAACGAGGGGACCUCUCUCAUGGGAAUGACACAUGGAUGGUAGAUAUUCCACGAAUUUUAAAUUGAGUUCUUCCAGGGGAUCACUCCCAGUAAAAAGAGGACCAUCCCCAAGAAGUAGAGAGGGGGGAUCCUCCUCCUAAGAGAUCUACACCUUCAGGACCACUUCGCAGCAGCAGUGGAAUGGGAGGAAGAACUCCUGUAUAAGGUGGAAAGGAUAGUUAUUGAGGUCCACCUUGAAGAGAACCACUGCCCUCUCAUAGAAAGGUUUAUUUGUUUCCAAGGGAUGAUGGGUAUUCUACUAAAGACAGCUAGUCAAGCAGAGAUUACCCAAGCUCUCAUGAUACAAGAGAUUAUGCACCACCACUAAGAGAUUAUACUUACCAUGAUUAUA